rnacentral:tRNA from 1 species
UCCGCAGUAGUUCAGUGGUAGAACACUCGGCUGUUAACCGAGAUGUCGUAAGUUCGAGCCUUACCUGCGGAGCCA